GGCCAGUUAGCUCAGCCAGUUAGAGCAUGGUGCUGAUAACACCAAGGAUGCGGGUUCGAUCCCCGCUUGGUCC
rnacentral:tRNA from 1 species